GCACAACGCGAAGAACCUUACCAACCCUUGACAUGUGUAUCGCGGUUCCAGAGAUGGUUCCUUCAGUUCGGCUGGAUACAACACAGGUGCUGCAUGGCUGUCGUCAGCUCGUGUCGUGAGAUGUUCGGUUAAGUCCGGCAACGAGCGCAACCCACACUUUCAGUUGCCAUCAUUCAGUUGGGCACUCUGGAAGAACUGCCGGUGAUAAGCCGGAGGAAGGUGUGGAUGACGUCAAGUCCUCAUGGCCCUUACGGGUUGGGCUACACACGUGCUACAAUGGUGGUGACAAUGGGUUAAUCCCCAAAAGCCAUCUCAGUUCGGAUUGGGGUCUGCAACUCGACCCCAUGAAGUCGGAAUCGCUAGUAAUCGCGUAACAGCAUGACGCGGUGAAUACGUUCCCGGGUCUUGUACACACCG
rnacentral:rRNA from 1 species